GGGAGGGCGGUGUGAGGACCCCACAGAGGCACGUGGCGCACAAACAAGGCGGCUGGUGAAGAACUAUAUAUUUGUUUCCAAGUUAAUCCCGUGGACUAUUUUGUUAACCAUAUAGCAAGUACCAGUACAAUAUUUUCAAUACGUUUAGGUAUUCCGUGUAAUGAUUUAAUUCACUUUCUAUCUCCAAAUAAUUGUUUAUAAAUCGGUGCACUAUUCACCAACCGAUGUGUCUGUACAGGUGGUCUUCUUAGUAUAAUCGUUGUUUCCACUGAGAUAAUUUCUUCUAUAUAUAGUUAUUUUAGUAUCAUAAAUCAUUCGGUGGAUUAUAAAAGUUUUCCAUUUACAAUAUAAGCAUAAGAUUUUAUUUCUCAAAAUAUAGGAGCUGCAUGGACCACACCACCCUGUUCCAUUUCAUCAAAGAAACAAGAGUUUUACAGCGGGUAAGAGGCCAAGGUCGGAAUUCGCAAACAUCCAAAAGGGAAGGAAAAGAUAAUGUAUCAAAACUAGAAUUUCUCUCUGUCCUUUUGUUUUCAUCGAGGCACGACAAAAACUCCAAACCAGCAAUCUAGACAACAAUAUUAAUGUUCGUAGACUGCAAAAGAUCAUCCACGACACCACCACACCUAAUCACUACUAUGUGUGCCAUAUGAUAGAAACAUUUGCUACAGACGACAGAAGGAUGUACUUUGGGGUUCCCUUUUCUAAGAGCUCCCUUUCCCCAUACAUGGAUGCUGACCAUGGUGAACUGCCAAUCACUACUGUAGAUGGAACUACCACUAUCACAGCCCGCUUUAUCAAGGGUGUUGACAAAAGGGCCACCAUCACUAGAGGCUGGAGCGACUUCUUCCGUCAGGCGCACAUGGAGAAAGGCCCCAAACAACAUCUCAACUAUGUUCUUGAAUGCAUUGACCACAAGAACCGAGUGAUAAGACAAUCAAGGACUAAAACAAAGGGUGCACAACAUCAAAACUGAGGACAAAGAAAAACGUCAUCAGAUAUGAAAUCAAUAUCACAGGGAGUCCAAAUGCCACACCACUUUACGAUGAUUUUUUAUGGACC